AAUAAAUAAAAUAUAGACAUGUAGGUAGCUAAAGAUCUCCCUCCCACUCCGCCUGCCUCCUCCCCUCCCCCGAGCCGGGCAGCUCCGAUCCUGCAGAAACGCUUGAAACUGUUUCAGACCAAGACCUCAAUUUUGAAAUGUCUAACAGCCCCAGACUUAACGCACUUGACUGGAAGAUGGGAAAACUUUCUUCUUACAAGGCAGAGUGGGGAAUGUAAACCCUCUUCAUACACCCCAGUGACAACUACGAUGAGACCAUUCAGUUGUAUACAAGCGAAUAAACAAAAUAUAUGGGAGUGUACACAGUUGUACAGCUGACACCACACUGUGCUCAAGGGAAAAAUGGACGAGACAGAAGGCUCUCCAGCAACUCCAUCUGCAAUAGAGGCUUUGGAGAAUCAACACGGCUAUAAGAAACAAAAACUAUUUUAACAAGAAAUUUUACUUAUGGUUAUAAUAAAGAACAGCAACAAAUGAAAGUGAGGCUUAUUUUUAUUUUAUAUUCUUAAAAAGUCAGCAGAACUGGAGGAUACUAGUACCCUGUGUGCAAAAGUGUCUAGAAUAUAAUUAAAACUGGUGUUGUGUUGCUGUACAAAUUGUGAUCCUAUGCUUAUUACUAUAUGAGGCUCAUAGUAAUUUUAAAAGGCAUUCUAUCAGAAACAUUUCUCCUUCUUAUCCACAGAUUUUACAAGUUUAUCAUCACUUGCAUAUUCAGUUUGAGAACUUGAAAAUAAGAGAAAACUAUUUUUAUC